GACGAACGCGGCGGCGUGCCUAAUACAUGCAAGUGGGACGCAAGGGAACACACUGUGCUUGCACACCGUGUUUUCUUGAGUCGCGAACGGGUGAGUAACGCGUAGGUAACCUGCCUAUUAGCGGGGGAUAACUAUUGGAAACGAUAGCUAAUACCGCAUAAUAUUAAUUAUUGCAUGAUAAUUGAUUGAAAGAUGCAAGCGCAUCACUAGUAGAUGGACCUGCGUUGUAUUAGCUAGUUGGUAAGGUAAGAGCUUACCAAGGCGACGAUACAUAGCCGACCUGAGAGGGUGAUCGGCCACACUGGGACUGAGACACGGCCCAGACUCCUACGGGAGGCAGCAGUAGGGAAUCUUCGGCAAUGGACGAAAGUCUGACCGAGCAACGCCGCGUGAGUGAAGAAGGUUUUCGGAUCGUAAAGCUCUGUUGUAAGUCAAGAACGUGUGUGAGAGUGGAAAGUUCACACAGUGACGGAGCUACCAGAAAGGACGCA
rnacentral:rRNA from 1 species